GACGAACCGUGCGAACGUUAUUCGGAAUCACUGGGCUUAAAGCGCGUGUAGGCGGGCCGGCACGUCGGACGUUGAAAUCCCCCGGCUCAACCGGGGAAGGGGCGCCGAUACGACCGGCCUGGAGGAACGUAGGGGGAGCUGGAACUUCCGGUGGAGCGGUGAAAUGCGUUGAGAUCGGAAGGAACGCCCGUGGCGAAAGCGAGCUCCUGGACGUUUUCUGACGUUGAGACGCGAAAGCCAGGGAGCGAACGGG
rnacentral:rRNA from 1 species